ACCACACUCCAGAAGCAUGCAAAGUUACUAGACUAAAAAAUACCCACGUAUAGCAGCAUACACACAAGAAGAAAGGUAACUGCCCUGGAUCCCAGAGACAGGGGUGGACCUCUUUCUUAAUGUCCAGUGUCCUUUGUCUUAAGAUUUGGUGCAAUAUAA
rnacentral:snoRNA from 1 species